AAGGUUUUAAGUUAAAAUUAAACUAAUAAUCUUCAAAAUUAUUUAUAAAUAAAUUUCUUUAAGCCUUA
rnacentral:tRNA from 1 species